GGCGUGGCCUCUGACUAACCCGAACUUCGGCGUAGACGUAGUGUUAAACCGUGGUUCAUACGCGCCUCUGUAGUGGCAAGACCUGGGACUCCAGUCACUCAUUGUUUCUACAAAGGUGCCUUGAGUCCCCGGUGCUUAUGGGCCUGUGCUAAGCUAGUGGCAAAACCCCGAAGCUAUUUGGUCUCCUUGCGGGAGCUCGGCGCUUGCUGGGGCCACGCUCUGCUUGCUUGGGCGUGGCCUCCUGUGAGAGGGGGCCCUAGGAUGAGGCGAUAUGCUGGAUUCCUGGGCUUCCUUAACAUGAGCCCUCCCCUGCUGUAGACGUGAAUGGAACCCGUUAAGUUAUGGGAACGUUCCCGGCACUCCUUUCCUUUCCUCUCAAGUGCCAGUGGGAUGUCCGAAUAGGGUCUGGCACCAUGACUGUCUGGACUCAAAAGUGCCUUCAGGAGGCCCUAGCAAAAUUUACUAGUGUCUGCUUGGAGUAGUAGCAGCUCUUGUGAUGGACUCCGGACAGCCAGCGUUCAUUCCCUGACUCCCUUCUGUUACUUUUUAAGUAAAAUAAUGAAAAUAUUUCAAAUAGAGUAAUACAGAUUCCUGUGGACCGACCACUAGCUUGAAAUUUUAUCAGACUUGCUUUCAUUCUUUUUUCCUCCCAGCUUUAUUGAGGUGUAAUCAAUGAUUCAUUCUUUUUUAAAUAGAACAAUACAUAUAGGCAGAAGCCCCUGCGUACCUCCUCCAUCUCAUUCUGUCUCCCUCCCCAGUGGCAAUCACUGUGCUGAGAAUGUUGUAUAUCAUGUCCAUGCAUGUCCUUAUAUGCAUACCCAUAAAUAAUAUUUUCUUUUGCAUGUUUAGACAUAUCAUGGAAUGGAAUCAUAGUUGUACCUCUCAUUGUGCACCUUUCUCCUCUCUCAAAAUUAUACUCUCAAGAUUUAUCCAUUUGGUCAAUCGCUAGAUAAUUUUCACUGCUCAUUGUAUGACUGACCCAUAUUUGUUUUUACAUUCCUUAGUGAGAGAGGUUAUUUCUACUUUAACGGCCUUACAGAGCAGCAAUGAACAUCAUGUGCAAUGGAUUCACCAAGCAGAUUCCCAAAAGUGAAUUUGCUGCGAAAUCUGCAACUUUGUUAGCUAUUACCAAAUUGCUCUCUGGGUUGAUUGCAUCAAGGUACCAAUUUAGACUCCCAUUGGCAGUAUACGUAGUUUGAGGGUCCCCGUGGACUAAUGUCUGAUUCAUGCAUGAGAAAUCUGAACCGAGAGAGGCUAGCCGAGGCAGCUUGGGGUGGAGGUGGGAGGCGGAGAAUAAUGGCUGCAGAGGGAUCAGCUUGCAUACACAGAAUUUGCCAGCACAAAGAACGUGCAGGUGUUUCCCAUGGAGCAGAUGUGGACCACCAUGAGACAGCUUAGGUCCUGCCCAACAGGCCUGGGAGGAAGGCAAUGAACUUCAGCACUGAGAACCUCAAAGAGUCACCAAAUUCCUAGAGGCUGAAAAAGGAGUACACAUUUGCCUUGCCAGAGGAACCUCAGAUGGAUUCUCGCUCUGUCGCCCAGGCUGGCGUGAUCUCGGCUCACUGCAACCUUUGCCUCCUGCCUCCUGGGUUCAAGCAGUUCUCCCUGACUCAGCCUCCGAGUGGCUGGGAUUACAGGCACCAGCCACCACACCCGGCUAAUUUUUAUAUUUUUAGUAGAGAUGCAGUUUCUCCAUGUUGGCCAGGCUAGUCUUGAACUCCUGACCUUAGGUGAUCCACCCGCCUUGGCCUCCCAAAGUGUUGGGAUUACUGGCGUGAGCCCCCGCCCCCGGCCUAAAAACACCAUUUUUAAAUUAAAAUUAUUUUUCCACGUUCUUACAAAGUGAACUUUUUAAUUAAAUCCAAGUACAUCUUCAGAAUGUUUCUGGAGUUGAAAGGCACAGUGCAAAUAGAAAUUACUACAAUCAACAAAAUUGAUUUUAAAAAGUAUUUUUAGCACAAAAAAGUUUUCUUUAUAUCAUACUAAAUUCAGAGCAUUACAUCAUUCCCAGAAUACCUAGUUUGAAGCUUAUUUUUUUUUCCAUUCACUUGCAAGCUGGAUUAAGACAUUAACUAUAAUAAUAUGGAAUGUUCAGCAUUUAUGUUUGGUAACCAGAUGUAUAUGGUUUGUAUAACCAUACUUUAGAAUUUAGUUCAGAUAAAUUGGUUUUGGUAUACUUUGACUACAGAAAGUGAUUUCAACAUAAGAUGUGAUGAAGGAAGUCUCCCAUGAAAAACUUAGUAAGGAUCAACUGAUGCUAUGGACAAAACCUAAAAAAAGAGAUUUGUAGAUGCUUUCAAGGCUUUGACUAUGAAAUAUAGAAAACUGGAUGGGCAUUCUUACUGACCGGAUGCUUACAAUUUCAAAUGAAGAAACUACUAGCCACUCUAAAAAUUGGAUUAGGGAAAAAAGUGAUUUUAGAACAGUCUUCCAUUUAAAAAAUUUUUCACUGAAAAGAAAAUAUGGAAUAAUUUAAUAUAUUCAAUGUCUGUGAAACACAAAGUAGAAAGUAAUCUUUUAAAAACAUGGAAUACAUAUUUAUUUCUACUUUAAAA